AUACGGAGGGGGCAAGCGUUGUUCGGAAUUACUGGGCGUAAAGCGCGCGUAGGCGGCUAAGUAAGUCGGAUGUGAAAGCCCUGGGCUCAACCUGGGAACUGCAUUCGAUACUGUCAGGCUAGAGUAUAGUAGAGGGAAGUGGAAUUCCGGGUGUAGCGGUGAAAUGCGUAGAUAUCCGGAGGAACACCAGUGGCGAAGGCGGCUUCCUGGACUAAUACUGACACUGAGGUACGAAAGCGUGGGGAGCAAACAGGAGUAGAAACCCCAGUAGUCC
rnacentral:rRNA from 1 species